rnacentral:rRNA from 1 species
UACGUAGGGGGCUAGCGUUGUCCGGAAUCAUUGGGCGUAAAGAGCGUGUAGGCGGUCCGGUAAGUCCGCUGUGAAAGUCGGGGGCUCAACCCUCGAAUGCCGGUGGAUACUGUCGGGCUAGAGUACGGAAGAGGCGAGUGGAAUUCCUGGUGUAGCGGUGAAAUGCGCAGAUAUCAGGAGGAACACCGAUGGCGAAGGCAGGUCUCCUGGGCAUUAACUGACGCUGAGGAGCGAAAGCAUGGGGAGCGAACAGGA